UACAGGGGGUGCAAACGUUGCUCGGAAUCAUUGGGCGUAAAGCGCACGUAGGCGGUUUGUUAUGUCGGAUGUGAAAGCCCUUGGCUCAACUGAGGAAGUGCAUCCGAAACUGGCAAGCUAGAGUACUAAUGAGGGUCGCGGAAUUCCCGGUGUAGAGGUGAAAUUCGUAGAUAUCGGGAGGAACACCAAUGGCGAAGGCAGCUCGCUGGGACGGUACUGACGCUGAGGCGCGAAAGCGUGGGGAGCAAACAGG
rnacentral:rRNA from 1 species